GCUGGGGAGAAACAGGACAACCUAACAAAACAGGGCCUGGACUCUUCCCUAAACAGACCACGUUUUUCUCCGCUCUUCCCCUUCCCACUCCCUGAAAUCUAGACUAAAACUCUUUUAAGAUAACUGCGAGGUAUAAAGAACGUCUAGAGCCUAAAGCGGCCCGUUGCCAGAUUCUACUCCUCAGGCCUCAAAUGUGAGCGUCCCAAACAAUCUAGAGCUGAACCUGGUAUGCUUGCCAGCCAAACUGCCGUGCUCGGGGCUCAGUAUCUCAUGCGCGGCCGUUCAAGAACCUCAGACACGCUCAGAAAACACUUGUUGCUUGACUGGUACAUUAUGGCGAGUAACGCAUCCCACAUAUUUCUUCUUAGAGAUAUAUAUCAUGCUAUACAUUUGUGAAGAACGGCUCGAUUUACAGGGGUUCCCACAACGAUCUGUCACAUACAAAAGAGUGGGUGGUAUUUUUACGUCAAAGAUGAACAGGCGAACGUUCAUCUAAAUCGUGUGGUAUCAGAUGUGGAGAGGCGUGGGGGGGCCGGGGGAGAAAGCAUUAAUUCUUCCAGCUUUAGACCCCGACGUAAUAUUUAAAACGUGGAUUGUUUUUCAAAUAAACUUUUCAAUGGACACGACAGCACCUCAUCCUGCGUUAAUACUGCAUUGCAACUAUAAAGAAAACCAGUGGAGGUACGCCUAUCUCCUAUCUCUCUAGUUGGCAAAAAAAGGGGGAAAAAAAAAAGGCAAUUUUUAACAUUUUCUCGUUUAUUCCCCUCUAAAAGGCGGGCAAGGCCCCCGAUCACGUGAUCCCGCCCCCCCUCCCCCCACCAACUCCGGGCGGAAGAGGCCGGCGACACCUCUGCACGAAGCGAGUGGGCGGCCGCUCGUGCCCGGCUACAAGAUGGCUGCUGCCGCCGGGCAGCCACCGCCUGGGAGGUUACUGUAAGGCCCGCAACUCCCGCCAGCUCCCGCGAACCGCUGCCGCCUCCUUACCAUGAAGCCAGUGAGUCGUCGCACGCUGGACUGGAUUUAUUCUGUGUUGCUGCUUGUCAUCGUUUUAAUCUCCUGGGGCUGCAUCAUCUAUGCUUCAAUGGUGUCUGCAAGACGACAGCUAAGGAAGAAAUACCCAGACAAAAUCUUUGGGACGAAUGAAAAUUUGUAACUCCUCUGGAUUUACUUCUCUGAAAAUAGUUCUUUCCCUCAUGCUUAGGUAGAUUUAAAAGUAAAAUUCAUAAUGCAAAGUUCCCAAGUUUAUUUUUGCAUUAUCCUUUAUAACAAGCACUAGUAUGCAAAUUUGCAGAAAUAUCAGGCACAUUUCACACCUCUUUUGCAGUUUUUGGUUUAGUUGCUGCUUGCCAUCGUUUUAAUCAACUGGGGCUGCAUCAUCUAUGCUUCAAUGGUGUCUGCAAGACGACAGCUAAGGAAGAAAUACAGACAAAAUCUUUGGGACGAAUGAAAAUUUGUAACUCCUCUGGAUUUAAUUCUUUGAAAAUACAGUUCUUUCCCUCAUGCUUAUGUAGAUUUAAAAAUAAAAUUCAUAAUGCAAAGUU